UGGGGAGUCGUCUAGUGGUAGGACAGCAGAUUCUGGCUCUGCGAGCCGGGGUUCGAAUCCCUGCUCCCCAG
rnacentral:tRNA from 1 species